GAGUUUGAUCUUGGCUCAGAUUGAACGCUGGCGGCAUGCCUUACACAUGCAAGUCGAACGGCAGCACGGGAGCUUGCUCCUGGUGGCGAGUGGCGAACGGGUGAGUAAUGCAUCGGAACGUAUCCUGGAGUGGGGGAUAACGUAGCGAAAGUUACGCUAAUACCGCAUAUUCUGUGAGCAGGAAAGCGGGGGACCUUCGGGCCUCGCGCUCUUGGAGCGGCCGAUGUCGGAUUAGCUAGUUGGUGAGGUAAAGGCUCACCAAGGCGACGAUCCGUAGCAGGUCUGAGAGGAUGAUCUGCCACGCUGGAACUGAGACACGGUCCAGACUCCUACGGGAGGCAGCAGUGGGGAAUUUUGGACGAUGGGGGCAACCCUGAUCCAGCCAUGCCGCGUGUGUGAAGAAGGUCUUCGGAUUGUAAAGCACUUUAAGUUGGGAGGAAGGGCAGUAAGUUAAUACCUUGCUGUUUGACGUUACCGACAGAAUAAGCACCGGCUAACUCUGUGCCAG
rnacentral:rRNA from 1 species